rnacentral:rRNA from 1 species
UUCUUCCGGUUCCGGGGGAAGUAUGGUUGCAAAGCUGAAACUUAAAGGAAUUGACGGAAGGGCACCACCAGGAGUGGAGCCUGCGGCUUAAUUUGACUCAACACGGGGAAACUCACCCGGCCCGGACACCGUGAGGAUUGACAGAUUGAAAGCUCUUUCUUGAUUCGGUGGUUGGUGGUGCAUGGCCGUUCUUAGUUCGUGGAGCGAUUUGUCUGGUUUAUUCCGAUAACGAGCGAGACUCUAGCUUACUAAAUAGUCUGGUCUUUAUUACUGAGGCCUGACUUCUUAGAGGGAUUUUCGGUGUUCAGCCGCACGAGAUUGAGCAAUAACAGGUCUGUGAUGCCCUUAGAUGUCCGGGGCUGCACGCGCGCUACACUGGCGAAAUCAGCGUGCUUUUCCUAUCUCGAAAGAGAUUGGUAAACCGAUGAAAAUUUGCCGUGAUUGGGAUCGGAAAUUGCAAUUAUUUUCCGUGAACGAGGAAUUCCAAGUUAAGUGCGAGUCAUCAACUCGCGUUG